rnacentral:rRNA from 1 species
AACGAACGCUGGCGGCAGGCCUAACACAUGCAAGUCGAGCGAGAUCUUCGGGUCUAGCGGCGGACGGGUGAGUAACGCGUGGGAAUAUGCCUCUUGGUACGGAAUAGCCUCGGGAAACUGGGAGUAAUACCGUAUGUGCCCUUUGGGGGAAAGAUUUAUCGCCAAGAGAUUAGCCCGCGUUGGAUUAGGUAGUUGGUGGGGUAAUGGCCUACCAAGCCGACGAUCCAUAGCUGGUUUGAGAGGAUGAUCAGCCACACUGGGACUGAGACACGGCCCAGACUCCUACGGGAGGCAGCAGUGGGGAAUCUUAGACAAUGGCGGCAACCCUGAUCUAGCCAUGCCGCGUGAGUGAUGAAGGCCUUAGGGUUGUAAAGCUCUUUCAGCUGGGAAGAUAAUGACGGUACCAGCAGAAGAAGCCCCGGCUAACUCCGUG